rnacentral:rRNA from 1 species
UACGUAGGGGGCAAGCGUUGUCCGGAUUUACUGGGCGUAAAGAGCGUGUAGGCGGCCAAGCAGGUCCGUUGUGAAAACUGGAGGCUUAACCUCCAGACGUCGACGGAAACCGCGUGGCUAGAGUCCGGAAGAGGAGAGUGGAAUUCUUGGUGUAGCGGUGAAAUGCGCAGAUAUCAGGAAGAACACCAAUGGCGAAGGCAGCUCUCUGGGACGGUACUGACGCUGAGACGCGAAGGCCAGGGGAGCAAACGGG